rnacentral:rRNA from 1 species
UACGUAGGGCGCAAGCGUUAUCCGGAAUUAUUGGGAGUAAAGAGCUCGUAGGCGGUUUGUUGCGUCUGCCGUGAAAGUCCGGGGCUCAACCCCGGAUCUGCGGUGGGUACGGGCAGACUUGAGUGCAGUAGGGGAGACUGGAAUUCCUGGUGUAGCGGUGAAAUGCGCAGAUAUCAGGAGGAACACCGAUGGCGAAGGCAGGUCUCUGGGCUGUAACUGACGCUGAGGAGCGAAAGCAUGGGGAGCGAACAGG